GCCUUCCUGGUGUAGUGGUCAGCACACUUGGCGCGUAUUCGAGAGGUCCGUGGUUCGAGUCCCGGCGAGGGCA
rnacentral:tRNA from 1 species